rnacentral:rRNA from 3 species
AGACCCGAAACCCGGUGAUCUAGCCAUGGGCAGGUUGAAGGUUGGGUAACACUAACUGGAGGACCGAACCGACUAAUGUUGAAAAAUUAGCGGAUGACCUGUGGCUGGGGGUGAAAGGCCAAUCAAACCGGGAGAUAGCUGGUUCUCCCCGAAAGCUAUUUAGGUAGCGCCUCGUGAAUUCAUCUCCGGGGGUAGAGCACUGUUUCGGCUAGGGGGCCAUCCCGGCUUACCAACCCGAUGCAAACUGCGAAUACCGGAGAAUGUUAUCACGGGAGACACACGGCGGGUGCUAACGUCCGUCGUGAAGAGGGAAACAACCCAGACCGCCAGCUAAGGUCCCAAAGUCAUGGUUAAGUGGGAAACGAUGUGGGAAGGCCCAGACAGCCAGGAUGUUGGCUUAGAAGCAGCCAUCAUUUAAAGAAAGCGUAAUAGCUCACUGGUCGAGUCGGCCUGCGCGGAAGAUGUAACGGGGCUAAACCAUGCACCGAAGCUGCGGCAGCGAACGUAUCACUUAAAGCGAUUCAGCGGGUUACGAUUGACGGAGCGAAGCGACGUCAAAGCGUAUACAAAGUCGAGUCGGUUUAAGGAUACGUUCGUUGGGUAGGGGAGCGUUCUGUAAGCCUGUGAAGGUGUGUCGUGAGGCAUGCUGGAGGUAUCAGAAGUGCGAAUGCUGACAUAAGUAACGAUAAAGCGGGUGAAAAGCCCGCUCGCCGGAAGACCAAGGGUUCCUGUCCAACGUUAAUCGGGGCAGGGUGAGUCGACCCCUAAGGCGAGGCCGAAAGGCGUAGUCGAUGGGAAACGGGUUAAUAUUCCCGUACUUGGUGUUACUGCGAAGGGGGGACGGAGAAGGCUAUGUUGGCCGGGCGACGGUUGUCCCGGUUUAAGCGUGUAGGUGUGUGUUCCAGGUAAAUCCGGUUCACUUUAACACUGAGGCGUGACGACGAGGCACUACGGUGCUGAAGCAACAAAUGCCCUGCUUCCAGGAAAAGCCUCUAAGCAUCAGGUAACAUCAAAUCGUACCCCAAACCGACACAGGUGGUCAGGUAGAGAAUACCAAGGCGCUUGAGAGAACUCGGGUGAAGGAACUAGGCAAAAUGGUGCCGUAACUUCGGGAGAAGGCACGCUGACACGUAGGUGAAGUGAUUUACUCA